AUGACUUUUAUCACCAUCUUCAUCUGGACACUUGUCUUCUACACACAAGAAUCCAGAGGACAGUACACUCUGACUCAGACACCUGCAGUGAAAGCUGACGGCAAUGGAGAGACGGUCAACAUUGGCUGUAAACUCAGCAGUGGUAUAUACAGUAAUUACCUGCACUGGUACCAACAGAGACCUGGAGAAGCUCCUAAACUCCUCAUUUAUCAGAUAAACAACAAGUUCACUGGGACUCCAUCUAGAUUCAGUGGUAGUGGAUCUGGGACUGACUUCACUCUGACCAUCAGUGGAGUCCAGGCUAAAGAUGCAGGAGAUUACUACUGUCAGAGUUACCACUACAUCAAUAGUAAAUAUGUGUUCACACAGUGA